UACCACCUACUGUUCUUGCUGAAUUGUGCCUGUUUUCCUAAAGCAACUCUCCAAAUUCCAGCCAAAUCACACGAACAACACUGGCAUCAGCCAUGAUGAUUUCUGGCUGGCAGCGCCAUCAUUAUUAAUUUGCAAACAAACCACAAGUCAGAAUAAUAAAACUAAAGUAAACUUCUAAAUAAACAAGUUUUUAAUAGGCUUGUUCUGUGCUUUAGCCAUUUUGCUGAGCUAUUCUGUGUGCAGUGACUGUAGUCAGUGACAGUGCUCUGCUGCUCCUCUGUCCAUCAGAUGUUGUGUUAAGCAUAUGCAUAAUAAGAAAAUAGAUGUUCUGCAGAUUAUUGUAAUGAGCAGCUAACUUUUAAAGAGUGAUACGUGAGAGGAAACCCUGUAAUUAAUGAGAAGACAAGGAGUGUUAGCAUUUGGAGAACAAAGACAGCCACGCAGUCAAAUACAAUGGUAAAAUCAUGGUCUCUCCUCAAAUAUGUCAUACUUAAAAAAAAAUUUCCAUCAGUGACUGAAGAAAAAACUGUGCCCAUCAGCUGUUGCUGAAGCUACAGACUUGAAUGCUUUCUUUGAAGAAUGAGACACUCAUACCUUCUGGCACAUAGCUGCUCCAGCCUAACAUUGGUGGGGUUGUCCAGAGAAGUGACCAAAUCCAGCACAUCCCAAGACCAGACCUGAGGAUCUGCUCAGCCACUGUGUUCUGAACUCCCCUGGGUUUUUGAGAACAGCGCAUGCUGAGGGGUUUGCAGCUAAAUCAAACAACCUUGAGUAUAUGAAUACAGGAAGCAGUUAACAGUGCUGUGCAGCGCCACAAACUUCUGAUUUGCAACUGGAGCUGUUUUUUGUAAGAACACGAUCAUGCACUUUGCAACAAACGAGGACAGCUAGCCAAGAUGAAUUAAGCAAUCAAACCAGUGCUUCAGCCGCUCACCUUUGGCGUUAAUUCCUAACACUACUCCACCUUAGCACACAGAGAGAGAGAGAGAGAGAGAGAGAGUCAGUCAGUUCAUUCCACAGAGGUAAGCCAAGCUGUGCCAGUAAAGGCAGACAGAGAAGUCUGUAAAAGCAGCAAAGAGUCCUAUGGUACUUUAUGGACUACAGACGUAUUGGAGCAUGAGUUUUCGUGGGUGAAUACCCAAUUCGUCGGAUGCAUGCAGAGAAGUCUGUUACUGACACUCGUUCAGCUAUCCAGCGAGAUGUAUGCAAUGUGACAUUGCAAAGUUUUCCAUGGUCCUUGGUAGCUAUUGGAAACAGCUGUUUAGAGGGGCAAGCGACAAGGGAGUCCUCACUCUCACAUACAGAUGGUCCUACCACGGAGAGACCUAGCAAGUGGUGCAAGCAAGGUUUCUUUUUCGCCUGUAUUAACAGAAGUAGGUGAAUGAGGAAGGAUUUCCCAGUAGUUAGUGCACAAGCCUGGCACUUGGGAGACUGGAGCUCAAUUCCCUGCUCUACUGUUGCCUUCCUGCAUGAUCGUGGACAAGUCCCUCAAGCCCUGACCUGCUGUUAGACACCUAAAUAACACUGAGGCUCUGGGCCUGUUUCCAGGAUGUAAAAUGAAGAUUGGUAGCACUUCUCUACCUCACAGAAGUGAGGAGGAUCAAUCCCUUAAAUAUGGUCAGGUGUUUGGAUGUGAUGGAGGUGGGGGCCAUAGAAGUACCAAAGCAGAUAAAGCAAAAGCUGUGCAUCUGGCUGUACUAGCAUGAGCCAGGCUAGAUAACCACCGAGCUCAUGUGAAAAAUACAACUGCACAAACCAGACUGGUGUCUACUUCCAUAACUGCGAUGGGGAUAAGGUGCCUCUACACUGCUUGGCGGGGGGCAGGAUGCAAGGAUCCCAGCCAGGAGUGCUAGAGGAAGGGUGUUUAUUCACUGCUCAGAUUGCAAUAGAAGUAUUUAGAAAGGCAAGCAGAGACAGAAUAUGAUUGGAUGUCCCGCAGCCGGGAAAACUGAUGCAAUUUAUAGGCCUAUCAUCUUGAUGUAUGAGGCGCUCAUCAAAGAGAGCGGCAUUUUAGCAGCUAUCAAAUACAGUGUGGUGCAAAAG